CUGGGGCGAAGCUGUGAAGAGUGGCAAAGUGCUCUCCUUCAGCCGUCUGGGAGGCGUGAUCGAUUUCAUGGAGGGAGGAAAGAGAAUCCGGAACCGCCCGUCUCCUCUGCGCCGGCAGCGGGCGACUCCGCGAUACCAGCUUUCCUCUUUGGCCUGGGAGUUACUGAUAGGAUCACAACCACAGAAUCUCUCGAUUCUCUCUCCGCACCACCCUCCUCUUCCUUGUUCCCUUACCCCCAUCCUCCUUCAGACUAGUAGACAAGUGGAGAGGGAAGGAAAGGAUGCAAAAGUAAAUCUAACUUCCCAUCCCCAGAAGAAAUAGACCCGGGUUAGAAACACCGGGCUUUACACCUUUUCCUCCGCGGGUUGGGAGGCCUCUUUGAAAGAAAGAGGAUUGCCUCCCUCACCCCACCCCAGUCCUCUCUUCUCUCCUUUUCUACACUCAAACAGGAAAAGCUAACCAUCACAGGAGCCUCUCCACUUCUGUGGAAACGUUCCUUUCCAAACGGCAUGGACUUUUGGACACUUCCACACUAAGACAACUACUUCAGCCAGAACGUGGGACAGGCGCUCACAGGAUGUCACCCUUGAGGAUAAAUACUCGCUAGUUUCCGGUGAACGGUGGAAAAGGAAGCGGCUGGGUCCACAAGCUGCUGGAGCAUGGUGAUGAAUCUGCGUGGGUCAGCUUCUGAGGGCACAGAGCCAGCACAGAAGGAUGGAGAAUGAAUCUCGGGGAGACAAAUGGAGAAUAAUCAGCAUGCAACUAUUAUUAUUUACAAAUAAGAUUAUCUGAGAACCCUGCCUGCAAACAUCUUUUUGAUGCACAAUUCCAGCUGGAAGUAAAAACUUAACAAGCUUUGUAAACCUGAGCAUCCAAGAUUUUAAGAGUCAUCUCUCAAAGUGCUUUGGCUGAAAAACUCCUGCUAGCACUCAGGAAAGAUUUCCAGAGGUCUUGGCAGAUUUUGCAAGCCAAGACCUGGAAGAAUUUGAGAGUAUACCUUCUUGACUUCCUUUGGUCAUCCCCUGAUCUCUCAUCAUUUUGUGGCUUCCUGUGUCAGAAUCAGUCUUGCUAGGCCUGGUUAGUCACUUGCUGACUGUUGGUGUCAAGGAAGCCAGCCAUGCUUCAGCAAAAGGUGACUAGCUCAUAACAAAUCAACCCUAUAGCAACAGGAAGUCUUCCUAAUGCCUUCCCUUGAGUUCAGAGUCUGUGUGGACUUCAGAUUGAGGGAACUUUUCCUCUUUCCAACUUUCCCUAUCCUUUCCUCCUGAACCUGAACUAACCCAUAGACAAAAUGAUGAGAGAGGAUAGUGAUGGAGAAGCAUGUUCUCUUCCCUAAUUUGAGAUAAAAAUUAUAACUGGUAUCAGAGUCUUGAAUGUUCAUUCUGGAUAACAGCACAAACAAAAGCCUCAUUUCAGAAUCUCCUAGAAACUGAGUUUGAAAAUUUGAG
rnacentral:lncRNA from 1 species